GUUGUAUCUGGAAACAUGUUUAGCUCUGAAGUGUUUUGUCAGGAAACACGUUUAGCUGUGAAGUGUUUUGAAUGUAAACAUGUUUAGACCAUAAAGGGUCGUGAAGAAACAUGUUUAUCGUUUUAGUGCGAUAAGCCGUUACUUCAUUAGACCCCAAAUAAACUAAUAUUCCGGAAGGCUAGACUGUAAAACGUAUGAUAGCUCUCAAUACUACAUGUUUUCAUACCAUCACAAAAGGAG
rnacentral:lncRNA from 1 species